UAAGUCAAUUAUUACUUAAUUUACACAUGCAAGUCUCCGCCCCCCUGUGAAAACGCCCUUAAACCCCUUAUGGGGCAAGGAGCUGGUAUCAGGCACAACAACUCUGCCCAAGACACCUAGCUUUGCCACACCCACAAGGGAACCCAGCAGUGAUUAACAUUGAAUAUUAGCGAAAGCUUGAUUCAGUUAAAGUAUAUAGAGCCGGCUAAUCUGGUGCCAGCCGCCGCGGUUACACCAUGUGGCCCAAAUUGACUCCCUAUCGGCGUAAAGCGUGAUUAAAGGGGUCAAAUUAAAACUAAGCUGUGACACGCUUGUAAUCAAGAAGCUCAAACACGAAAGUUACCCUAAUUAAAUCAACUUGAACUCACGACAACUGAGGGACAAACUGGGAUUAGAUACCCCACUAUGCUCAGUCGUAAACUUUAACUUACAUCUUAAUCGCCGGGGAACUACGAGCUAAACUUAAAACCCAAAGGACCAGACGGGACCCAUAUCCCCUAGAGGAGCCUGUCCUUUAAUCGAUAACCCACGUUUAACCUCACCAUUUCUGGCUACUCAGCCUGUAUACCUCCGUCGCCAGCUUACCUCGUGAGCGCUAACCUUAGUGAGCACAAUGUUUUUCUAAAAUACGUCAGGUCAAGGUGCAGCAAAUGUAAUGGAAAGAGAUGGGCUACACUUUCUACAUUUAGAAUAAACGAAAAACUACCUAUGAAAUCUAGUUAGAAGGCGGAUUUAGUAGUAAAAUGAGGUCAUUAUACUCACUUUAACCCGGCACUGGGGUGUGUACACACCGCCCGUCACCCUCUUCGCUAUUACUCAGUCUUUAACAAACUCACGCUUAAUAGAGGAGGCAAGUCGUAACAUGGUAAGUAUACCGGAAGGUAUGCUUGGAUAACGCAAUGUAGCUUAAUUAAAG
rnacentral:ncRNA from 1 species